UACGUAGGGUGCGAGCGUUGUCCGGAAUUAUUGGGCGUAAAGAGCUCGUAGGCGGUUCGUCGCGUCGGCUGUGAAAACCUGAGGCUCAACCUCAGGCCUGCAGUCGAUACGGGCGGACUUGAGUACUGCAGGGGAGACUGGAAUUCCUGGUGUAGCGGUGAAAUGCGCAGAUAUCAGGAGGAACACCGGUGGCGAAGGCGGGUCUCUGGGCCGAUACUGACGCUGAGGAGCGAAAGCGUGGGGAGCGAACAGG
rnacentral:rRNA from 1 species